CACGUAGGGCGCGAGCGUUGUCCGGAAUUAUUGGGCGUAAAGAGCUCGUAGGUGGUUUGUUACGUCCGCUGUGAAAACCUAGGGCUUAACCCUGGGCUUGCAGUGGAUACGGGCAGACUAGAGGUAGGUAGGGGAGAAUGGAAUUCCUGGUGUAGCGGUGAAAUGCGUAGAUAUCAGGAGGAAUACCGGUGGCGAAAGCGACUCUCUGGACGGCAACUGACGCUGAGGCACGAAAGCGUGGGGAGCAAACAGG
rnacentral:rRNA from 1 species